UACAGUCCCCGCUGCACCAAAAACCCACUCCAUGCACCUCAUGGCCCCUCUUCGCCCUAUAAGACCCAGUUGAGGUACCACCGCCUCCAGGAAGUCCUCUGGGCCUCUGGCUGGGCCAGGCACCUCCCUUGAGUUCCCAAAGCGCCCUGGGGCCCUGUCCACACUGUCAGUCACUGUUUCCUUCUCCCAAGACAGUGGAUGGUGAGUCCUCAGGCAGGGAUGCGCCUGGGUCACGCAUGACCCCAGUAUGGCCACUUGGGAAAUCGUUUUCAGGCUUGGUAAGUCCAAACUCUACAGGGCAGCUGGCAGACUGGAGACUGCAGAAGAGCAACAGGGAAGAGCUGCAGUUCAAGUCCAAGGCCAUCUGGAGGCAGAAUUCCUUCUUGCUCGGCAGAGAGAGGGGACACGGGUUCGAGCCCUGGUCCAGGAAGAUCCCAUGUGCCGCGGAGCAACGAAGCUCGUGCGCCACAACUACUGAGCCUGCGUGCCACAACUACUGAAGCCCAUGCACCUAGAGCCUGUGCUCCGCAACAAGAGAAGCCAACGCAACGAGAAGCCUGCACACGGCAACGAAAAGUAGCCCCUGCUCGCCGCAACUAGAGAAAGCCCGUGUGCAGCAGCGAAGACCCAACACGGCCAAAAAUAAAUAAAUUAAAAAAAAAAAAAAAAAAGGUUCACUGGGGUCAUGUCAAGAGGACACAAGAGCUAAAUUAAAGGGCCUCCCAUUGGCCAAAGGUCUGGCAGUUUGAGCACUAAAAGAAGUAAAUUGACUGUGCUUGAUUGAAACACGUUGAAUCUAUGAAAUACCAUGACUCCAUAGUGACACAUAAGAUAAAAAGUUACCAUAGGACUUCCCUGGUGGCACAGUGGUUAAGAAUCUGCCUGCCAAUGCAGGGGACACGGGUUCGAUCCCUGGUCUGGGAAGAUCCCACAUGCCGCGGAGCAACUAAGCCUGUACGCCACAACUACUGAGCCCGCGUGCCACAACUACUGAAGCCCGCGCGCCCUAGAGGCUGUGCUCCGCAACAAGAGAAGCCACUGCAAUGAGAAGCCCAUGCACCGCAACGAAGAGCAGCCCCCACUCGCCGUAACUAGAGAAAGCCUGCGCACAGCAACGAAGACCCAAUGCAGCCAUAACUAAAUAAAUAAAAUUUUAAAAAAAUUAAAAAAAAAAGUUACCAUAAUAUUCCCAGAAGGUGACCCUAAUAGAAUGUACUUGUGACUCUUAUCAUUCAUUUAAUUAUUAUAUUGAUAAGGAAUACAUUUGUUUGAAGACAUUUUCCAACUCAAGGCAAAGGCUCAAUGGAAUAAUCCAAUAUUUCGUAAUUUCCAUUCAUUGUAAAUUGGGAUUUGUUUCCUAAUCAUCUCUGGGGAGGGGCAAAUGGGUGUGAGUAUAGACAAAAUAAAUGAUGAAAGAGCUAAUAAUUGUUGAAGCUGGGGGACUGGUACUGGAGAUUCAU